rnacentral:ncRNA from 18 species
GUUUCCUGCGAGGUCCCACCUCCUCCCGGGACCUGUAGCAGCAGCGGCGACGCCUCUCCUCCUCCCUGGUGUCGCCGUCCUUU